AAUAUUUUCACUGAUUCUAUGUUGAUUUUUUUUUUUGUUAGAGAUCACUUCACCACAGCCGAAGACGAGCAGACGCCCUCGCUUUUUAACUUCCAAACGACAUAAGAGGGACGCCGGCAUCGAAUGUUCAAGGCGGGUGUUCCUGCAAGGUGUCAGUUCUCUGAAAGAAUUAGAGGACAUCUUUGAGCGAGCCGUUGGCGAGCGCCACUCUCCAGGACUCGCCUACAACGACCUUAAGGAAGUGUUCAAGACAGCGGCCCCCAGCGAACGCGCCAUGGAGUGCUUCGAUAGCAACGGGGACCACAUGUAUUCCCUGACAGAGCUGAGAGCGGCUGCGGGUUUUUAAGCACACGUUUCCAUCAGCGGUGAACAGUAUUGAAUACCCAGCAGGGUCUGGAGGGCUGCAGUUUUCAGUCCGUUUCUGAAAUUGCUGCAAUUUUUGCGAAUUGGAUUUUUGUCACGCUGAAGACGAAAGCAGCGCUGGUCUGCUCGAUCCCUCUAUCCCGAGUUCCAUUUUACCUUCAGCCAUAAAACAUUAGCAACAAUUUCACUGUAGUAUUAACUUCUUAUUUUAAUGGAGUCUCUUUAUCACCUUCAGUGUCAGACUUUUAUCCAUGUAUGUUGAUUUUCAGUCAUCUUUAAUGUCAUGAUUGUGUUUUCUACAGUAGGAUAGAGCAGCCCAUUUAUUGAUCCUCCUCACGUGAUCACACAACUAUGGUACCACUCACCCCAAUCUUUAGAUCUGUAUUCUGAAUGUUUACAAAUGACUACUAGAAACCAUUUUUAUACUUUUUUCCUUGUUCAUCUUUAAAGAGUGAAAGAACUUUUCUGCUCUUUCUUAAGCUAAACUUGAAGAUUUCCUAAUUUAUGUUAAGCUGUAACUGGGAUCAAAUAUUUAGUCUUUUUUUUUUCCUGUUUCAUAUUUGAAGGGCUAUCUUUGAUCUUUCGAGGUGGAUACCUGUGAGGCAGAUUAUUAAGCAAUAAUGUAGUUUAGGCAGAAAGCACACCUAACUUGCUGGAACAGGUAGAAGAAGAAGCACUGACCCUCACUCUGACCUUGAUUUACGUUAGCGGCCUCAUAGGUGUUUAAGUACAGAAUUAUUGUGGUUCGUUUGAGCUUUGUAAAAAAUGUAUAUUCACUUGUAAAAGGAGUUUUAAUCAUUUGUAUUUUACUUUGCAUGUGGACCUUUUGGAAAUUUUGAAGUGUAAUGGAUUUUUUGACAUGAUAACUGAUGAGUUGAUGCUGCUACUGUACAUGGGAGAUUUUAUGAAUUGUUUUGUGUUUGAGCACCAAUAAAAGAAAGUUAAGGUUUUGUCGUUUUGGUUAUUAAAACUGAGAAACACUCCUUUUUUUGAAAAAUUAUUUUUUUUAAUUUGCAGUUUUUAUAACAUCGUUGAACGGACACG
rnacentral:lncRNA from 1 species